rnacentral:rRNA from 1 species
CCUACGGGGGGCUGCAGUGAGGAAUAUUGGUCAAUGGACGAGAGUCUGAACCAGCCAAGUAGCGUGAAGGAUGACUGCCCUAUGGGUUGUAAACUUCUUUUAUAUGGGAAUAAAACGUUCCACGUGUGGGAUUUUGUAUGUACCAUAUGAAUAAGGAUCGGCUAACUCCGUGCCAGCAGCCGCGGUAAUACGGAGGAUCCGAGCGUUAUCCGGAUUUAUUGGGUUUAAAGGGAGCGUAGGUGGAUUGUUAAGUCAGUUGUGAAAGUUUGCGGCUCAACCGUAAAAUUGCAGUUGAAACUGGCAGUCUUGAGUACAGUAGAGGUGGGCGGAAUUCGUGGUGUAGCGGUGAAAUGCUUAGAUAUCACGAAGAACUCCGAUCGCGAAGGCAGUUCACUGGACUGCAACUGACACUGAGGCUCGAAAGUGUGGGUAUCAAACAGGAUUAGAUACCCCUGUAGUC